rnacentral:rRNA from 1 species
GGCCUAAUACAUGCAAGUCGAGGGGUAGAGAGAGCUUGCUUUCUUGAGACCGGCGCACGGGUGCGUAACGCGUAUGCAACCUACCUUUAUCUGGGGGAUAGCCCGGAGAAAUCCGGAUUAAUACCGCAUAAAAUCACAGAAUAGCAUUAUUUAAUGAUCAAACAUUUAUGGGAUGAAGAUGGGCAUGCGUGUCAUUAGCUAGUUGGCGGGGUAACGGCCCACCAAGGCGACGAUGACUAGGGGAUCUGAGAGGAUGGCCCCCCACACUGGUACUGAGACACGGACCAGACUCCUACGGGAGGCAGCAGUAAGGAAUAUUGGUCAAUGGAGGCAACUCUGAACCAGCCAUGCCGCGUGCAGGAAGACUGCCCUAUGGGUUGUAAACUGCUUUUAUCCGGGAAUAAACCUUUCUACGUGUAGGAAGCUGAAUGUACCGGAAGAAUAAGGAUCGGCUAACUCCGUGCCAGCAGCCGCGGUAAUACGGAGGAUCCAAGCGUUAUCCGGAUUUAUUGGGUUUAAAGGGUGCGUAGGCGGCCUGUUAAGUCAGGGGUGAAAGACGGUAGCUCAACUAUCGCAGUGCCCUUGAUACUGAUGGGCUUGAAUGGACUAGAGGUAGGCGGAAUGAGACAAGUAGCGGUGAAAUGCAUAGAUAUGUUUCAGAACACCGAUUGCGAAGGCAGCUUACUAUGGUCUUAUUGACGCUGAGGCACGAAAGCGUGGGGAUCAAACAGGAUUAGAUACCCUGGUAGUCCACGCCCUAAACGAUGAACACUCGCUGUUGGCGAUACACAGUCAGCGGCUAAGCGAAAGCGUUAAGUGUUCCACCUGGGGAGUACGCCCGCAAGGGUGAAACUCAAAGGAAUUGACGGGGGCCCGCACAAGCGGAGGAGCAUGUGGUUUAAUUCGAUGAUACGCGAGGAACCUUACCCGGGCUUGAAAGUUAGUGAAUGAUCUAGAGAUAGAUCAGUGAGCAAUCACACGAAACUAGGUGCUGCAUGGCUGUCGUCAGCUCGUGCCGUGAGGUGUUGGGUUAAGUCCCGCAACGAGCGCAACCCCUAUGUUUAGUUGCCAGCAUGUAAUGAUGGGGACUCUAAACAGACUGCCUGUGCAAACAGAGAGGAAGGAGGGGACGACGUCAAGUCAUCAUGGCCCUUACGUCCGGGGCUACACACGUGCUACAAUGGAUGGUACAGAGGGCAGCUAGCUGGCAACAGUAUGCGAAUCUCACAAAGCCAUUCACAGUUCGGAUUGGGGUCUGCAACUCGACCCCAUGAAGUUGGAUUCGCUAGUAAUCGCGUAUCAGCAAUGACGCGGUGAAUACGUUCCCGGGCCUUGUACACACCGCCCGCCAAGCCAUGGAAGUUGGGGGUACCUAAAGUAUGUAACCGCAAGGAGCGUCCUAGGGUAAAACCGAUAACUGGGGCUAAGUCAUAAC